rnacentral:rRNA from 1 species
UACGAAGGGGGCUAGCGUUGCUCGGAAUGACUGGGCGUAAAGGGCGCGUAGGCGGAUGGCACAGUCAGAUGUGAAAUUCCUGGGCUUAACCUGGGGGCUGCGUUUGAUACGUGCGGGCUUGAGUUCGGAAGAGGGUCGUGGAAUUCCCAGUGUAGAGGUGAAAUUCGUAGAUAUUGGGAAGAACACCGGUGGCGAAGGCGGCGACCUGGUCCGAUACUGACGCUGAGGCGCGAAAGCGUGGGGAGCAAACAGG